GGGGACACUCCAGGGCAGACCAGGACCCAGGCUUGGCUGCUGGCGGCAGGCCAGGAGAAGACUUCAAUCCGGGUGAACCAGGGUGGGAGCUGAGAACCCACACGUCUGCCACCCUCGCCUAGAAGGACAAAGUUCCAGGUGGGCCCACAUGUACUGACACACAAAGGGGCUCCCGGAGACACCACUAGUGAACUUGCUCCAAAGCCUCUCCAGUCUCCCGGGAAGAGAACCAUUAAUGGAGCUCCUAUAACCACAAAGCUGUAAAACACACUUGCCACCUGAAACUCUCAGGCCACUCAGACACAGGGCUGUUUGUUCCAGACCCUGGCUGCUCCAGAAAACUAAACUUCUGCAGGGAUGAUGGUUGCUUCCUUACUCUUUGAUCAAAGGAAUUCCACCAACCAGAGACCCAUACCCACUCGCACCCACAAAACAGCGCCAAGAGCAGCAGGACCUCCCUCCCUCCCAGGGGCCCUGCUGAGGAGGAAGUGACGCCUGAGGGCACCAGCCAGGGCAGCCCCUUGGCCAGCCCUGCGGCCAGCGGCAUUGUCUCCUGAAGCUGCUCUGUGGAGAUGGCAGAAACGUUCGCCCAGAGGUGAGGGGAGGGCACUCUGGCUUGCACAGGAGUUGACCUGCACCUUACGCUAACUGCAGCCAUCUGACAGUGGCCUAUCCAACACACACCGUGACUGCGCUUUAAUGACCGAAGGGAAAGGCACAGUCGCGAGAAGUA
ensembl:lncRNA